UACAGAGGUCCCGAGCGUUGUUCGGAUUCACUGGGCGUAAAGGGUGCGUAGGCGGUCGGAUAAGUCUGAUGUGAAAUCUCACAGCUUAACUGUGAAACUGCAUUGGAUACUAUUCGGCUUGGGGUCUGGAGGGGGGACUGGAAUUCUCGGUGUAGCAGUGAAAUGCGUAGAUAUCGAGAGGAACACCAGUGGCGAAGGCGAGUCCCUGGACAGGUCCUGACGCUGAGGCACGAAAGCUAGGGGAGCAAACAGG
rnacentral:rRNA from 1 species